GGGGGGAGGCGACCGAGCGAAGUUUGGUAGAUCGUAGGGAUUGUCGCUGGCCUUUGGAAACGAAGGCAUGUGCACGUUCCGAGUUCUCCUUAGUCCUCCUUUGCCUUUCCUUUGGAAAACCCUUUCUUCACACCCGUGCACCCAUUGUAGGUCUCCGCGAGGGGAUCUAUGUCUUCACAUAAACACUACGUAUGUCUAGGAAUGUAUCUAAAAGCGUCGGACGGCUUGGCUUCGUGCCCGGUCGGCGACGGUAAAGAACCAUAAUACAACUUUCAGCAACGGAUCUCUUGGCUCUCGCAUCGAUGAAGAACGCAGCGAAUUGCGAUAAGUAAUGUGAAUUGCAGAUUUUCAGUGAAUCAUCGAAUCUUUGAACGCACCUUGCGCUCCUUGGUAUUCCGAGGAGCAUGCCUGUUUGAGUGUCAUUUAAUUCUCAACCAUCCCUCGAUUCGUUUCGAGGGUUUGGCUUGGAUUUUGGGGGCUGCCGGGCGACCCUAGGGUCUUCGGCUCUCCUUAAAAGCAUUAGCGAUGGCGGCGCGAUCUAACCCCCC
rnacentral:misc_RNA from 1 species